rnacentral:ncRNA from 1 species
AUAUUCCGACAGGGGAGCGCCACAGCGCUGAGAGUGCGGCGGACAGGGCCGCAGACCCUCUGAACCUCGCCCAGGUCAUUCUGGGUAGGAAGUUCGGUCAUCACUCAAG